GCCCAUCCCUUUUGGUUAAACCUGCCCUAAGGAGGAGAAUACUCCCGGGAAACUGGGGUUAAUGCUCCAUAGUGGAUAUGUCCUGGAAUGGUAUAUCCUCGAAAGAUCCGUCGCCUUAGGAUGGGACUGCGUCCGAUUAGGUUGUUGGCGGGGUAACGGCCCACCAAGCCAUUGAUCGGUACGGGUUGUGGGAGCAAGAUCCCGGAGAUGGAUUCUGAGACAUGAAUCCAGGCCCUACGGGGCGCAGCAGGCGCGCAAACUUUACAAUGCCGGACAUCUCACCGGAUAAGACAGCUGAAUGAUUGUCAAUCUGAAGGUUUUACAUGACUAGCUGAGAGGAGGUGCAUGGCCGUCGUCAGUUCGUACUGUGAAGCAUCCUGUUAAGUCAGGCAACGAGCGAGACCCACGCCGACAAUUGCCAGCAGCAUCUCCGGAUGGCUGGGGACAUUGUCGGGACCGCCUCUGCUAAAGGGGAGGAAGGAAUGGGCAACGGUAGGUCAGCAUGCCCCGAAUUAUCCGGGCUACACGCGGGCUACAAUGGACGGGACAAUGGGUAACAACACCGAAAGGUGCAGUCAAUCUCCGAACCCCGCCCUUAGUUAGGAUUGCGGGUUGCAACUCACCCGCAUGAAUCUGGAAUCUGUAGUAAUCGCGUUUCACUAUAGCGCGGUGAAUACGUCCCUGCUCCUUGCACACACCG
rnacentral:rRNA from 1 species